UACGUAGGGUGCGAGCGUUAAUCGGAAUUACUGGGCGUAAAGCGUGCGUAGGCGGUUCCCCAAGUCCGUUGUGAAAUCCCCGGGCUUAACCUGGGAAUGGCAGUGGAAACUAGGGGACUUGAAUCUGGCAGAGGGGGGUGGAAUUCCACGUGUAGCAGUGAAAUGCGUAGAGAUGUGGAGGAACACCGAUGGCGAAGGCAGCCCCCUGGGCUGAGAUUGACGCUGAGUGCACGAAAGCGUGGGGAGCAAACAGG
rnacentral:rRNA from 1 species